UACGUAGGGGGCGAGCGUUGUCCGGAAUUAUUGGGCGUAAAGAGCGUGUAGGCGGCCAGGUAGGUCUGGUGUGAAAACUCGAGGCUCAACCUCGAGCUGUCGAUGGAAACCAUCUGGCUAGAGUCCGGAAGAGGAGAGUGGAAUUCCUGGUGUAGCGGUGAAAUGCGCAGAUAUCAGGAAGAACACCCGUGGCGAAGGCGGCUCUCUGGUACGUGACUGACGCUGAGACGCGAAAGCGUGGGGAGCGAACAGG
rnacentral:rRNA from 1 species